rnacentral:rRNA from 1 species
CCUACGGGAGGCAGCAGUGAGGAAUAUUGGUCAAUGGCCGGAAGGCUGAACCAGCAAUGCCGCGUGAAGGUCAGUGCCCUAUGGGCGUUAAACUUCUAUUGUGCGGGAGCAAUAAUGGUCACGUGUGGCCAGACGAGAGUACCGUACGAAUAAGCAUCGGCUCACUCCGUGCCAGCAGCCGCGGUAAUACCGGAGAUGCAAGCGUUAUCCCGAAUGAUUGGGUUUAAAGGGUGCGUAGGAUGGUAGGUAAGUCAGCGGUGGAAUGCCCCCGGUCAACGGGGUGAAGUGCCAUUGAUACUGGCUUGCUGGAGUGCGGAUGCGGUAGGAGGAAUGUGUGGUGUAGCGGUGAAAUGCAUAGAUAUCA